UUAUUUUGAUGCACUAAUACAAUAAAAAUAUGGAAAUUUUCGAAAAUCCAACAAUUUCAGAAUAUAUACGGGAGUUUAUUAAAGGUGUAUCGUGCAGUUUUAACUCAAGCCAGCCAUGAGAAAUUCUAGGCAUAAUAAACUUUAUCACAAGAACAUUGGAAUUCCGUAUGGCAGAAGAUAUAACCAGAUAAAACGAAAUGAAGCUCUUGUCAACAUAGCAACAACACCCAGGAUUUCUUCAGGGCACAGAAGGUUGUCGGAGCCAGGACAAGGGGAUGAAGACGAUUACGUGUCAUUAAUUCAACACAUUAGUAUACUAUAGUGGAUAUAGUAACUCAACUGUUAGCGAUAAUGUAGCAGAAGACAACGAAGAA